CUCCUCCCAAGCUGCUUCAGGCUGCUGCCAUGGCCAGCAGAAGUUAAUUCUGGGAGCCCAUGAGAGUGUGAGGGUACAGGAAUCCUUGGAUGAGGAGAGCUGGGUACUGACAGAUUCCAUUCAGAGACCAUGCCCUCCAGUUUACAAAGGACACAAACCCUUCUACUACUUGUAGCUUUUUUUCUGUUUUUUUUUUUUCUGUAAACCAAAACAUCUCAAAAUGGAGGCCUAAACCCCUUAAAGGGACUUAGUCUAAUCUUGGGAGGUAGUUUUGUGCAUGGACAGACAAAUUCAGCCCUCAGUUGACUUUCGGGACUGUUGUCUAAAGAUGCUCAUUUGAAGUCUGUAGUCUGAUUGUCUGAGGCGUUGAGUAUUAUGAUUUGGUUGUGAACUUGACUCUAGGAAGGGAAGGAGUUCUGUGGCUGGGCACAGUGAUGAAGCACUCUUCAGAAAGUUGCCUGGCAAUUUCCCACUGGCUGGCACUUUUUAAAAAGUGCCCACAUUCAAGAAAGAUCCAAACAUGAGUGCCGGCUAUCCAGAGGAAAUGAGUAAUCUGCUUUGCACAGUAGUACAGAAGUGUACUCAUGAGGUCACUGACACAUUCAAAGAUUGCAACAAUGACAGAGAACAAACAGGAACAAAAUGUUCUCGUAGGCACAGCAGAUUUAGAGGAAGUAAGACAGACACUACAAGAGAGUUGAGAAACUGUCCACCAUUGGUAUUUUAAAGGUCUACACAGCACAACUUUUAAAUAGACUGUAAGCAUGAGAGUUAUUUUGGCAGAUGAACUAGUUUAUUCAGAAAGAAAUGUCAUAGAACGACCAAGUUUUCAUAACCCUGUGGAGGGGACAGAGAGGUUAGACACAAUGAUUUCUCCUGAGAGAGACUCUUGUUGACAGCUGUGGGAUUUCUCCUGCCAUUUAGAGAUAAUGAGUUGGUGUCCUUGGUAGAGAACCUGCCAUAUCUGUGAACUGCAGGAAGCCACUCCAGCCAGUGGCAGCAAACCCCCAUGCCUUUACACAGGAUGAAUUUGCUAAUGGCUAGUGAGUCCUUCUAUGAGAGACUCUCAAUUUGAAGGUCUCUGUGUUCAGAUGGUAAUAGACUUGUUUGUUUUGAUAAAUAUGUGCUCAGGGAACACACUCUGUGACAUAAUUUCUGAGUUUGGGUCUCAAGCCUACAUUCGUGGCCCACACCAUUAAAUCCCAGCACUCAGAAGGCAGAGGCAGACUGAUUUCUGAGUUUGGGGUUGAGGCCAGCCUGGUCUACAGAGUGAGUUCUAAAACAGCCAGGACUACAUAGAGAAAUCCUGUUUUGAAAAAAUCAAAAAAAGAAGGAAGGAAGGAAGGGAGGGA
ensembl:lncRNA